rnacentral:rRNA from 1 species
UUUGGAGGGCAAGUCUGGUGCCAGCAGCCGCGGUAAUUCCAGCUCCAAUAGCGUAUAUUAAAGUUGUUGCAGUUAAGAAGCUCGUAGUUGAAUUUCUGCCUUAUCAUUAAUUUCGCUUCCGAACGUAAUUUUAUUGAUUUGGCAUCUUCUGGAUUUAUAUUUUUAUUAAUAUUUUUCCAGUAUUUACUUUGAGAAAACUAGAGUGUUUCAAACAGGCUAUUGCCUUGAAUACUACAGCAUGGAAUAAUGAAGUAGGACUUUGGUUCUAUUUUGUUGGUUAUCGAACCAUAGUAAUGGUUAAUAGGAGCAGUUGGGGGCAUUCGUAUUUAACUGUCAGAGGUGAAAUUCUUAGAUUUGUUAAAGACGAACUACUGCGAAAGC